CAGUAGCCGCGGGAAUACGUAGGGUGCGAGCGUUAAUCGGAAUUACUGGGCGUAAAGCGUGCGCAGGCGGUUUUGUAAGACAGGCGUGAAAUCCCCGGGCUCAACCUGGGAAUGGCGCUUGUGACUGCAAAGCUAGAGUGCGGCAGAGGGGGAUGGAAUUCCGCGUGUAGCAGUGAAAUGCGUAGAUAUGCGGAGGAACACCGAUGGCGAAGGCAAUCCCCUGGGCCUGCACUGACGCUCAUGCACGAAAGCGUGGGGAGCAAACAGGAUUAGAUACCCGAGUAGUCCCUGUCUCUUAUAA
rnacentral:rRNA from 1 species